rnacentral:rRNA from 1 species
GCUUGUCUCAAAGAUUAAGCCAUGCAUGUCUAAGUAUAAACGAUUUUAUACGUGAAACUGCGAAUGGCUCAUUAUAUCAGUUAUAGUUUAUUUGAUGGUCCUUACUACUUGGAUAACCGUAGUAAUUCUAGAGCUAAUACAUGACUCAAAGACCGACUUACGAAGGUCUGUGUUUAUUAGAUGGAAACCAAAGCGGGGAAACCCGGAUUUAUGGUGAUUCAUAAUAACCCUCCGAUCGGCUAUGCCGACGCAUCAUUCAAGUUUCUGCCCUAUCAGCUUUGGACGGUAGGGUAUUGGCCUACCGUGGCUUUAACGGGUAACGGAGAAUUAGGGUUCGAUUCCGGAGAGGGAGCCUGAGAAAUGGCUACCACAUCCAAGGAAGGCAGCAG